AGAGUUUGAUCCUGGCUCAGAUUGAACGCUGGCGGCAAGCUUAACACAUGCAAGUCGAGCGGCAGCAUUAAUUGUAUAAUUUACAUUUUUAAUAAAUAUAUUUUAUAUUUUUAGAUGGCGAGCGGCGUACGGGUGAGUAAUAUCUGGGAAUCUACCUUCUGGAGGGGGACAACUAUUGGAAACGAUAGCUAAUACCGCAUAAUAUUUAUUUUCUUUAAUUAAAUUUAAAUUAAAGCAGGGGAUUAUUUUUAUAACCUUGCGCCAUUAGAUGAGCCCAGACGAGAUUAGUUAGUAGGUGAGGUAAUAGCUACACCUAGACUUUGAUCUCUAGCUGGUUUGAGAGGAUGAUCAGCCACACUGGAACUGAAACACGGUCCAGACUCCUUAGGGAGGCAGCAGUGGGGAAUAUUGCACAAUGAGGGAAACCUUGAUGCAGCUAUGCCGCGUGUGUGAUGAAGGCUUUCGAGUUGUAAAACACUUUCAGUGAGGGAAUAAAUUAAAAUUACUAAUAAUAAUUUUAACUGACUGUACCCACAAAAGAAGCACCGGCUAAUUCCGUGCCAGCAGCCGCGGUAAUACGGAAGGUGUUAGCGUUAAUCGGAAUUAUUGGGCGUAAAGCGUGUGUAGGUGGUUUAUUAAGUCAAAUGUGAAAUACUUAAGCUUAACUUAGGAACUGCAUUUGAUACUGAUAAUCUUGAGUUUCAUAGAGGAGAGUAGAAUUCUAAGUGUAGCGGUGAAAUGCGUAGAUAUUUAGAGGAAUACCAGAGGCGAAGGCGACUCUCUGGAUGAAUACUGACACUGAGACACGAAAGCGUGGGUAGCAAACAGGAUUAGAUACCCUGGUAGUCCACGCUGUAAACGAUAUCAAUUUGAAAGUUAUUAUUUUUAUAUUUAUGGCUUUCGUAGCUAACGCGUUAAAUUGAUCGCCUGGGAAGUACGACCGCAAGGUUAAAACUCAAAUGAAUUGACGGGGGUCCGCACAAGCGGUGGAGCAUGUGGUUUAAUUCGAUACAAAGCGAAGAACCUUACCUACUAUUGACAUUUAUAAAAAUAAACAGAGAUGUUUAGUGCCUAUUUAUAGGAAUUUAUAAACAGGUGUUGCAUGGCUGUCGUCAGCUCGUGUUGUGAAAUGUUGGGUUAAGUCCCGUAACGAGCGCAACCCUUAUUCUUUGUUGCCAGCGAGUAAUGUCGGGAACUCAAAGAAAACUGCCAAUGAUAAAUUGGAGGAAGGUGAGGAUGUCGUCAAGUCAUUAUGGCCUUUAUGAGUAGGGCUACACACAUGCUACAAUGGUAUAUACAAAGAGAAGCAAACUUGCGAAAGUAAGCAAAUCUCACAAAGUAUAUCUUAGUUCGGAUUGGAGUCUGCAACUCGACUCCAUGAAGCAGGAAUCGCUAGUAAUCGUGGAUCAGAAUGCCACGGUGAAUAUGUUCUCGGACCUUGUACACACCGCCCGUCACACCAUGGGAGUGUGUUGCAAAAGAAGCGAGUUAUUCUAACCAAUUAUAAUUGGACGAUACUCUCCACUUUGUGAUUCAUGACUGGGGUGAAGUCGUAACAAGGUAACCGUA
rnacentral:rRNA from 1 species